CAGUAGCCGCGGUAACACGAAGGGUGCAAGCGUUAAUCGGAAUUACUGGGCGUAAAGGGCGCGUAGGCGGACAGUUAAGUUGGGGGUGAAAGCCCGGGGCUCAACCUCGGAAUUGCCUUCAAUACUGGCUGUCUUGAGUAUGAGAGAGGUGUGUGGAACUCCGAGUGUAGAGGUGAAAUUCGUAGAUAUUCGGAAGAACACCAGUGGCGAAGGCGACACACUGGCUCAUUACUGACGCUGAGGCGCGAAAGCGUGGGGAGCAAACAGGAUUAGAUACCCCGGUAGUCCCUGUCUCUUAUAC
rnacentral:rRNA from 1 species